CAAUAAAUAUUAAUUAAUAUUUUUGGUUUAAUGAAGUUAAAUUUGUUUUUUUAUAUGGAUUUAAUUUAUUUAUUUUUAGGUGAAAUUUAAAUUUUUAUUAAAUUUUUUAUGAUUCUUUAAAGUGUAUAUAUUAAACUAGGAUUAGAUACCCUAUUAUAAUACAUUUAAUUUUUACCAGGGUACUAUUAGUUAUUUUCUUUAAACCUAAAGAAUUUGGCGGUGUUUUAGUCUAUUUAGAGGAAUUUGCCCCAUAAUCGAUAGUCCUCGAUUUAUCUUGCUUUUAUUGGUUUAUCAGUAUGUAUACCUCCGUUAUAGGUUUAUUUUAUAAGGAUAAAAAUUUACUUUAUUCUUUUAUUUGAAUUAUUUC
rnacentral:rRNA from 1 species